GAUGAACGCUGGCGGCGUGCCUAAUACAUGCAAGUCGAGCGAACAGACGCGGAGCUUGCUCCGCUGACGUUAGCGGCGGACGGGUGAGUAACACGUGGAUCACCUCCCUAUAAGACUGGGAUAACUUCGGGAAACCGGCGCUAAUACCGGAUAAUAUAUUGAACCGCAUGGUUCAAUAGUGAAAGACGGUUUUGCUGUCUCGUCUCGCUGGUUCCCGGCCGCAUUAGCUAGUUGGUAAGGUAACGGCUUACCAAGGCAACGAUGCGUUGCCGACCGGAGAGGCGGGUCGGCCACACUGGAGCGUGGCCGCGGUCCAGACGCCUGCGGGAGGCAGCAGUAUGCAAUCUUCCGCAGUGGGCGAAAGCCUUACGGAGCAACGCCGCGUGAGAUAUGAAAGUCCUCGGAUCGUAAUGCUCUGUUAUUGGUUAAAAACAAAUGUGGAAGUAGCUGUGCACGUCUUGACGGUACCUGAUCAGAAAGCCCCGGCUAACUACGUG
rnacentral:rRNA from 1 species